rnacentral:misc_RNA from 1 species
AUCCGCUUGUUGUCCAUUCUCAUUUGGUUGAGAUGGGCGUCGACAGAAAACAUCAAGUGCUCCUUGCGCCAGCCGCGAACAGUCGAUCGUAAUUAUCUGCUAAUGUAGAGGCGGGUGUCAUGUGUUUGUGUGAUGUAAAAGAAUGCACUGGACCAUAACUCAGCUGCUGACAGCAUAAAACACCAACAACCUAGCUAAUACAUCUCCAUAAACUGAUCAAACUAUGUAGGAAACUAUGAAGAAAAAGACCUAGUCAGUUAUUAACAACAUGAAUCAGCUGCUCAUUCGGUCUGAUAAAGGAGAAUAUCUUCCAGGACAGUAUGUAUGUGGUGCUGUAUACCUGAAUAUAUUGACACCAACAGAAGCCCACGGUGUGCAACUUUCUUUCAGAGGAAAAGAAUCAGUGUGCAGUGAGAUCCAUGUGGAGGAACAGACGAUCAACCAUCAGGUAAAACAAGACUAUGUGGACUACUGUUACAUUGAUCUCUUUGUACAGAAUGAACCUUUUGCCUUUGGUAGCUACUGCUUCCCUUUCAGACUACAGCUGCCUCACCAAAUUCCAGGGACUUUCAAAGCUAGCAGCAAAAUGCCUUCGCGGGUAUGGUCAGCGAGUGUGAUAUACCAGCUGCAUGCAAACAUUGUGGGCGCAGAGACUAUGAGUGUGUCACAAGAUGUUGUGGUAACUGCUGUCACUCCAGAAAAUAUACGAGACAAUCACCUAACAGAGGACCAGAUUGAGACUUUUGUGCCACCAGGAAGAUUUUUUGAGAAGAUGCAUGUCACUGUGAAGUUGCUGCAAAACUAUGUCAAGGCAGGAGAAAAUCUGCGAUUUCGAAUGAGUUUUUCCAAAAAUUGUCCAACAAUCACAGAAAUUGGCAUCAAGUUGCAGCAAAUUUUAAGACUGACGGUGCCAAACAAGUCAAAGAAACUGGAUGGAUCUAGAAUGGAUCAGUCCUCAGUCAUUUUGGAGGAUACAGUGACAACCAUUAGGGAACUUGUUGGUAUAUUACCACCACCUGGACUGCAAGUACUUGACAAUAUAUUGGUACCUCUGAAGACUUGUGAUGGAUGCACUGUCAUGCCAUCUGUUCAUGGAACGUUCAUACAGUGUAACUACAGUUUGGAGGUAUCACUGCACUUUGGUAGGCAGGUGAAAACCCUGACUUGUCCCAUUCCAGGAUUGUUACCAGAGGACAAUUCUGAGAUUUCAACUGCAUAAAGCAAGUGGUUAGCUUGGAGACCUUUGCCAUGGCUUCAAAAUGCUGAGGUUAAGCUUGGCAAUGGCCCCAUCACACCAUCAGAACAUCUCAUCGAAAGUGAAGCAUUUGCCCGUCUACCUGGUUUUCAGGAUA